CUACGGGGUGCACCAGUGGGGAAUAUUGGACAAUGGGGGAAACCCUGAUCCAGCAAUGCCGCGUGUGUGAAGAAGGCCUGCGGGUUGUAAAGCACUUUCGGUUGGGAGGACUGCUUCUAGCACUAAUAUUGUUGGAAGUUGACGUUACCUUCAGAAGAAGCACCGGCUAACUCCGUGCCAGCAGCCGCGGUAAUACGGAGGGUGCAAGCGUUAAUCGGAAUUACUGGGCGUAAAGCGCGCGUAGGCGGCUAGAUCAGUCGGGUGUGAAAGCCCCGGGCUUAACCCGGGAACUGCAUCCGAUACUGUCUAGCUUGAGUACAGGAGAGGAGAGUGGAAUUCCACAUGUAGCGGUGAAAUGCGUAGAUAUGUGGAGGAACACCAAUGGCGAAGGCAGCUCUCUGGCCUGAUACUGACGCUGAGGUGCGAAAGCGCGGGGAGCAAACAGGAUUAGAUACCCGUGUAGUC
rnacentral:rRNA from 1 species